rnacentral:tRNA from 2 species
GCUGUUAGCUCAGUUGGUAGAGCAGCGGACUUUUAAUCCGCAGCAAGAGGCUCCCGUAGCAGGUUUAUUCAAUCCUUUCGCGGCAGCG